CCCAGACUCCUACGGGAGGCAGCAGUGAGGAAUAUUGGUCAAUGGGCGCGAGCCUGAACCAGCCAAGUCGCGUGAGGGAAGACUGCCCUAUGGGUUGUAAACCUCUUUUGUCAGGGAGCAAUUGGCGCUACGUGUAGCGUUAUCGAGAGUACCUGAAGAAAAAGCAUCGGCUAACUCCGUGCCAGCAGCCGCGGUAAUACGGAGGAUGCGAGCGUUAUCCGGAUUUAUUGGGUUUAAAGGGUGCGCAGGCGGUCUGUUAAGUCAGCGGUCAAAGCCCGGGGCUCACCCCCGGUCCGCCGUUGAAACUGGCAGUCUCGAGUUGGAGAGAAGUAUGCGGAAUGCGCGGUGUAGCGGUGAAAUGCAUAGAUAUCGCGCAGAACUCCGAUUGCGAAGGCAGCAUGCCGGCUCCACACUGACGCUGAGGCACGAAAGCGUGGGUAUCGAACAGGAUUAGAUACCCCCGUA
rnacentral:rRNA from 1 species